ensembl:lncRNA
GUUUUUUUAUAAAACUUUACAAUUCUGCUGUAAAUGCUGUUUUGGAGUGAGUAUAGCUACAGCACAUAAAACAUAAAUGUUUUUCUUUUGAAACAUGUCGUGUAAUUCCAUUUUUGCCAUGCAAAUUAUACUGUGACAGUGCUGACCUUCACCACAAGGAAGUUGAACUAUAUGUAGACAAUUCAUCUUUCAUGAAAAUGCCUGGGUCUGGAAGCUUAAAGUUUAGAGUUUUGUCAUUAGCAUCAGAAUAAGAAUAUGUGUAAGUGAAAAUAAUUUACAUACAGUCAUGUUUAUUUAUUUAUUGAAAUUAGUUAUUCUAUGUCCUUAUAAAAUGAAUUAUAUUAUUUGUGUGUUUCAAGUACUAUUUAUUCAUUUUUUCUCACAAUUAUUUUAUUGUUUAUUAGAAAGUAUAAUUAAAAAGAAAAGGAAGAAAAAAUAAUGUUCUUAUCAUAUAUACAGAAGUGAAAUGAACAAGCUAAAUUAUUUUUCCUGAAUGUAGUGGCUCUUGAUUUCAGAUGGUUACUCAUUUUUCCAGACCAUCAGAGACCACCAAUUAGCAUUGCCACCACAGGUACACAGACACUGGCAGGAACAAUAGACCAAAUGAAGCCCUGAGGUUGGGAAUUUGGUUUGUGGGACUGUUUUUUGGUGUAGUUAUCAGUGUUGUUGCUACUGUUGUUGUUGUUGUUGCUGCUACUAUAGUUGUUGCUGUUGUUUUUGUUGCUACUGCUACUGUUUUUGUUGUUGUUAUUGUUGCUGCUGCUACUGUUGUUGUUGCUGCUGCUAUUGCUUCCGUUGUUGUUGUUCCUGCUAUUGUUGUUGCUGCUGCUACUGUUGUUGCUGCUAUUGUUGUUGUUACUGCUGCUCUUGUCGUUGUUGUUGCUGGUGUUGUUGCUGCUGCUGCUGCUAUUGUUGUUGUUGUUGCUGCUGCUGCUGUUGGUGGUGUUGCUGGUCUUGUCAUUGUUGUUGUUGCUGUUUCUGAUCUUUCUGUUGUUGUUGUUGUUGCUGGUGUUGUUGUUGCUUUUGCUGUUGGUGUUGAUUUUAUUGUUGCUGGUGGUGUUGUUGUUGUUGUUGCUGGUUGUGUUGUUGUUGCUGCUGCUGCUGCUGUUUCUACUGCUGCUGCUGCUGCUGUUGUUGUUGCUGUUGCUGGUAUUGUUGUUGUUGUUCUUGCUGCUGCUGCAGGUGUUGUAGUUGUUGUUGUUGCUGGUCUUGCCAUUGUUGUUGUUGAUGCUGCUGCUGUUGUUGUUGCCAUUGUUGUUGUUGCUGCUGGAGUUGUUGUUGUUGUUGAUGCUGCUGCUGCUGCUGUUGUUGCUGGUCUUGUCAUUGUUGCUGUUUCUGGUCUUGCCAUUGUUGAUGUUGCUGCUGGUGUUGUUGUUGCUGUUGCUGUUGGUGUUGAUUUUAUUGUUGCUGGUGUUGUUGUUGUUUUUGCUGCUGUUGCUGGUUGUGUUGUUGUUGCUGCUGCUGCUGUUGUUUCUGCUGCUGCUGCAGGUGUUGUUGUUGCUGUUUCUGGUCUUGCCGUUGUUGUUGGUGGUGUUGUUGCUUUUGCUGUUGGAGUUGAUUUUAUUGUUGCUGGUGUUGUUGUUGUUGUGGCUGGUUGUGUUGUUGUUGUUGUUGUUGUUGUUGUUGUUGUCGUCGUCGUCGUCGUUGUUGUUGUUGCUGCUGCUGCUGUUUCUGCUGCUGCUGCAGGUGUUGUUGUUGUUGGUUGUGUUGUUGUUGUGCUUGCUGCUGCUGCAGGUGUUGUUGUUGUUGGUGUUGAUUUUAUUGUUGGUGGUGGUGUUGUUGCUUUUGCUGUUGGAGUUGAUUUUAUUGUUGCUGCUGCUGCUGCUGCUGCUGUUUUUUCUGCUGCAGGUGUUGUUGUUGUUGGAGUUGAUUUUAUUGCUGCUGGUGUUGUUGUUGUUGUUGCUGGUUGUGUUGUUGUUGUUGUUGUUGUUGUUGUUGUUGUUGUUGCUGCUGCUGCUCUUGUCAUUGUUGUUGUUGCUGUUGUUGUUAUUGUUGUUGAUGCUGCUGCUGCUGCUGCUGUUGUUGCUGGUCUUGUCAUUGUUGCUGUUUCUGGUCUUGCCAUUGUUGCUGUUGCUGCUGGUGUUGUUGUUGCUGUUGCUGUUGCUGUUGAUUUUAUUGUUGCUGGUGUUGUUGUUGUUGUUGCUGCUGCUGCUGAUGGUGUUGUUGCUGUUGCUGGUAUUGUUGUCAUUGUGCUUGCUGCUGCUGCUGCAGGUGUUGUUGUUGUUGCUGGUGUUGUUGUUGCAGGUCUAACCAUUGUUGUUGUUGUUGUUGCUGGUGUUGUUGUUGCUGCUGGUCUUGUCAUUGUUGUUGCAGGUGCUGUUGUUGCUAUUGUGGUUGCAGUGGGCAUGCUGUUUAUGGUUGUAGUUUUACUUUGU